ACUUACGCUAAUACCGCAUACGACCUACGGGUGAAAGCAGGGGAUCUUCGGACCUUGCGCGAUUCUCUGCCCCGAUGUCGGAUUAGCUAGUUGGCGGGGUAAAGGCCCACCAAGGCGACGAUCCGUAGCUGGUCUGAGAGGAUGAUCAGCCACACUGGAACUGAGACACGGUCCAGACUCCUACGGGAGGCAGCAGUGGGGAAUAUUGCAGUCGUGGGGGCAAGCCUUAUCCAGCCAUACCGCGUGGGUGAAGAAGGCCUUCGGGUUG
rnacentral:rRNA from 1 species